rfam:Human rhinovirus 86 VP1 capsid protein gene, partial cds.
GGGUUGGGAGAUGAACUAGAGGAAGUCAUAGUCGAAAAAACGAAACAGACGUUGGCUUCAGUUGCAACAGGUUCAAAAUAUACCCA